rnacentral:rRNA from 1 species
CACGUAGGCGGAUUGGUAAGUCAGAUGUGAAAUCCCGGAGCUCAACUCCGGAACUGCAUUUGAUACUGCCAGUCUUGAGUGAGGUAGAGGGGAGUGGAAUUCCCGGUGUAGAGGUGAAAUUCGUAGAUAUCGGGAGGAACACCAGAGGCGAAGGCGACCCCCUGGGCCUCUACUGACGCUGAGGUGCGAAAGCGUGGGGAGCAAACAG